rnacentral:rRNA from 1 species
UACGUAGGGGGCAAGCGUUGUCCGGAAUCAUUGGGCGUAAAGCGCGCGUAGGCGGCCCGGUAAGUCCGCUCUGAAAGUCCAGGGCUCAACCCUGGAAAGCGGGUGGAUACUGCCGGGCUAGAAUCCGGAAGAGGCGAGUGGAAUUCCUGGUGUAGCGGUGAAAUGCGCAGAUAUCAGGAAGAACACCAAUGGCGAAGGCAGCUCUCUGGGACGGUACUGACGCUGAGACGCGAAGGCGUGGGGAGCGAACAGG